AGCGAACGCUGGCGGCAGGCCUAACACAUGCAAGUCGAACGAACCUUUCGGGGUUAGUGGCGGACGGGUGAGUAACACGUGGGAACGUGCCUUUAGGCUCGGAAUAACUCAGGGAAACUUGUGCUAAUACCGAAUGUGCCCUUCGGGGGAAAGAUUUAUCGCCUUUAGAGCGGCCCGCGUCUGAUUAGCUAGUUGGUUGAGGUAAUGGCUCACCAAGGCGACGAUCAGUAGCUGGUCUGAGAGGAUGAUCAGCCACAUUGGGACUGAGACACGGCCCAAACUCCUACGGGAGGCAGCAGUGGGGAAUCUUGCGCAAUGGGCGAAAGCCUUACGCAGCCAUGCCGCGUGAAUGAUGAAGGUCUUAGGAUUGUAAAAUUCUUUCACCGGGGACGAUAAUGACGGUACCCGGAGAAGAAGCCCCGGCUAACUUCGU
rnacentral:rRNA from 1 species